rnacentral:rRNA from 1 species
CCUACGGGUGGCAGCAGUGGGGAAUAUUGCACAAUGGGGGAAACCCUGAUGCAGCAACGCCGCGUGAGGGAAGACGGUUUUCGGAUUGUAAACUUCUGUUCUUAGUGAAGAAUAAUGACGUUAGCUAAGGAGCAAGCCACGGCUAACUACGUGCCAGCAGCGGCGGUAAUACGUAGGUGGCAAGCGUUGUCCGGAAUUACUGGGUGUAAAGGGACCGCAGGAGGUAAGCCAAGUCAGCGGUGAAAACUACGGGCUGAACGUGUAGAGUGGAGUUGAAAUUGGUUUUCUUGGGUGAAGUAGAGGUUAGCGGAAUUCCUGGUGUAGCGGUGAAAUGCGUAGAUAUUAGGAGGAACACCAGUGGCGAAGGCGGCCAACUGGGCGUUAACUGACGCUGAGGCUCGAAAGUGUGGGGAGCAAACAGGAUUAGACACCCUUGUAGUC